rnacentral:rRNA from 1 species
AGAGUUUGAUCAUGGCUCAGAUUGAACGCUGGCGGCAUGCCUUACACAUGCAAGUCGAACGCGAAAGCGGAGCAAUCCGCAAGUAGAGUGGCGAACGGGUGAGUGAUACAUCGGAACAUAUCCAGUAGCGGGGGAUAACCUGUCGAAAGAUAGGCUAAUACCGCAUACGAUCUACGGAUGAAAGCGGGGGACCGCAAGGCCUCGCACUAUUGGAGUGGCCGAUGUCGGAUUAGCUAGUUGGUGAGGUAAAAGCUUACCAAGGCGACGAUCCGUAGCUGGUCUGAGAGGACGAUCAGCCACACUGGAACUGAGACACGGUCCAGACUCCUACGGGAGGCAGCAGUGGGGAAUUUUGGACAAUGGGCGCAAGCCUGAUCCAGCCAUGCCGCGUGAGUGAAGAAGGCCUUCGGGUUGUAAAGCUCUUUCGGCGGGGACGAAAUGGUCCGUGCUAAUACCACGGACUGAUGACGGUACCCGAAGAAGAAGCACCGGCUAACUACGUGCCAGCAGCCGCGGUAAUACGUAGGGUGCAGGCGUUAAUCGGAAUUACUGGGCGUAAAGCGUGCGCAGGCGGUUUGUUAAGACAGAUGUGAAACCCCCGGGCUUAACCUGGGAACUGCGUUUGUAACUGGCAAGCUAGAGUGUGGCAGAGGGGGGUGGAAUUCCAAGUGUAGCAGUGAAAUGCGUAGAUAUUUGGAGGAACACCGAUGGCGAAGGC